UAUCGACCCCUUUUGUGCCGGAGUUAACACAAUAAGCAUUCCGCCUGGGGAGUACGGCCCGCAAGGUUUGAAACUCAAAGGAAUUGACGGGGGCCCGCACAAGCAGCGGAGCAUGUGGUUUAAUUCGACGCAACGCGAAGAACCUUACCAGGUCUUGACAUCCACUUAAAGUCAUGGAGACAUGAUGUGAGCUUGCUCGAAGUGAGACAGGUGGUGCAUGGUUGUCGUCAGCUCGUGUCGUGAGAUGUUGGGUUAAGUCCCGCAACGAGCGCAACCCUUACUGACAGUUACUAACGUGUAGUGGCGAGGACUCUGUCGGGACUGCCGGGGACAACUCGGAGGAAGGUGGGGACGACGUCAAAUCAUCAUGCCCCUUAUGACCUGGGCUACACACGUGCUACAAUGGCCGUAACAGAGAGGGGCGAAAGCGCAAGCUGGAGCAGAUCUCAAAAAAGCGGUCUCAGUUCGGAUUGUGGGCUGCAACCCGCCCACAUGAAGUCGGAGUUGCUAGUAAUCGCGGAUUAGCAUGCCGCGGUGAAUACGUUCCCGGGCCUUGUACACACCGCCCGUCACACCAUGGGAGUUGAUAGCACCCGAAACAGGUGAGGUAACCGCAAGGGGCCAGCCUGCUAAGGUGAGAUCAAUGACUGGGGUG
rnacentral:rRNA from 1 species